UACGUAGGGGGCAAGCGUUGUUCGGAAUUACUGGGCGUAAAGGGCGCGUAGGCGGCACGGCAAGUCAGGAGUGAAAGCCCGGGGCUCAACCCCGGAAUGUCUUUUGAAACUGCCGAGCUAGAGUGCGGAAGAGGCAACUGGAAUUCCCAGUGUAGCGGUGAAAUGCGUAGAUAUCUGGAGGAACACCGGUGGCGAAGGCGGCAUCCUGGACCGGUAUUGACGCUGAGGCGCGAAAGCUAGGGGAGCAAACCGG
rnacentral:rRNA from 1 species